UCCAAAAAACACCCUAUGUAUCCUUAUCCAACAACGCAAAAAAUUCCGCACUCGCAGAGCCCCGCCUUCCCACCUGAAUCCAUCAUCUACCCUGAGCACGGAAACAUGCUGGGGAAAGUGCUGGAUGUAGGAGCUGAUGGGGUAGCCGUUAUAACAAUCCACAACCCACCUCUCAAUCUGCUAUCCGUUGACGUGAUGGUGAGCUUAAAAGAGAAUAUUGAAAUAGCCCUAUUCAGAGAUGAUGUGAAAGCCAUUGUAAUUACUGGUUUAAAAGGAAAGUUUUCUGCAGGAUUUGAUGUAACGGCCUUUGGUGGUGUUCAAGAGAUAAAAUCAAAAAGGGAGCUUGGGUUUAUGUCAAUUCAGUUUCUUACAGACACUUUGGAAGCUGCGAGAAAGCCUUUUGUAGCUGCUAUUGAGGGGCCUGCUUUUGGUGGGGGAUUGGAGAUUGCCCUUGCAUGCCACGCUCGCAUAUCAACACCCUCUGCGCAAUUAGGCCUUACUGAGCUUCAGUACGGAAUUCUUCCUGGACUUGGAGGGACGCAAAGACUUCCACGGCUUGUGGGCCUUCCUACAGCCCUUGAAAUGAUUUUGAUGUCAAAGCGAGUUAAUGGGAAGGAGGCUCAAAGUUUGUCCCUUGUGGAUGCCUUAGCUCCCGGAGACAAACUUCUUGAAGUGGCUCAGCAAUGGGCUUUGGAUAUUGUAGAGGGUAGAAGACCGUGGGUAGUCAGUCUCUAUAAAACUGACAAAUUAAUACCGCUGGAAGAAGCUAGGCAUAUGCUAAAUUCAGCACGAUUUGAAAUUCAGAAACAAAAUCCACAUGUAAUGCACCCACUAGUAUGUAUUGAUGUCAUUGAAGAGGGCAUUAUUUCAGACCCUCGAAAUGCACUAUGGAAGGAAGUAGAAGCUCUCCAGGAACUCCGACAAUCUAGUACAUGCAGGAGCCUUAUCCAUGUAUUUUUUGCUCAACGUCAAAUUAUGAAGGUGCCUGGAGUUCCUAAGAAGAAUUUGCUUCCAAGAAAAAUAGUCAAUGUUGCUGUUAUCGGCGGUGGAUUGAUGAGCUCUGAAAUAGCGACAAUGUUAGUUCUAAGCCAUUACCAAGUUAUACUGAAAGAGAGGAACAAGGAAAAUAUGUUAGAUGAUAUAAACAGAAUCAAAAGAAAUUUGUCAAAUUAUGUCAAGAAUGGGAAGGCAACUCAAGAGGACCUUGAGAGAGCUGUUGUUCUAUUAAAAGGUGUUCUUGAUUAUGACAACUUUGAAGAAGUUGAUUUAGUUAUAGAGGUUGGAUCUGAGGAUUUGUCACUGAAGGAAGGAAUUUUUUCUGAUCUUGAGAAGUUCUGUAAUCCACACUGCAUUUUUGCCAGUGAUAGCUCAACUUUCAGUUCAAUACUGAUUGGAGAAAGAACCAAAUCCCUAGGUCGUCUAGCUCAAAUCAACUUUUUCUGCCUGUCUCCUCUCAUGCCUCUUAUGGAAUUAAACUAUAUGGAAAAUACAUCACCACAAGUAAUUGCUGAUCUGAUUGAUUUUGGAAGAAAAUUGAGGAAAACUCCUGUUGUAGUUAGUCACUGCAAGAGAAAUGCAGUGAACAGAGUACUUGUUACAUAUUUGCAUGCAGCAAUACUACUUACAGAAGGAGGUGUAGAUUUUUACCAAAUUGAUCGGGCUCUUGAAAGCUUUGGAAUGAAGAUGGGUCCAUUUAGAUUAAUUGAUGUGGUUGGAUUUCAUGCUUUUGCCUUUACUAGUCAAAAUAUUGUUGAAGGUCUUCCAGACAGAUCCUACAAACCUAAACUGAUACAAUUCUUACUGCAGAAUGGCCAUGACGGUGAAUGUAAUGGUAAGGGUUUUUACAAAUAUGACAACUGUAGUAACUGUAUACCAGAUCCUGAAUUACGGAAAAAAACAGGCAAUUCAAGGUUGAAUAUGUUGAAUGCGACUAUUGACUGCAAGCUAAGAGACCUGUCUGAUAGCGAGAUGGUUGAGAUGAUCCUAUUUCCUGCAAUAAAUGAAGCGUGCCAAAUAAUUUCAGAGGGCAUCAUAACCAGAUCAUCUGAUCUAGAUGUUGCAUCUAUAUUGGGAAUGGGAUUUCCAGCUUUCAGGGGAGGAAUCAUGUACUGGUCUGAUUCAUUUUGUUCUAGUUAUAUACAUUCAAAGUUGGAGGGCUGGUCGAUCGAAUAUGGGGAUUUUUUUAAGCCUUACAAUUCUUUAGCUGAGCGAUCUUCGAAGAAGAUAUCAUUGGUCCAAGAAAGAAGGUGGCAGCCGAAGUCCCAGAUGUAACCAUGAUUGAAUACAUAGGGGUCAGUCCAGAAGACUCCAUCAUGUAGAGAGCAGCUGAAGUUCAAUACUAGCUCCUUGCUUGCCUGUGGAAGGCAAGAAUUCUUAGGCGGAGUCGAGAAUUCCUGGGACUCAAUGAAGUGUGUAUGGACAUCUAGUCAUUAGGCUCCAUGACAUAGAAUUGACAGGCCUUUGAAUCCUUAGCGUGUCCAAUGAAUAUGCAAUCAAUCAUUUUCCUUUCCAUGUAAUGUUUUUCUUUUAGUUCAUAAACUUUCACAAUUGUCCAAUAACCCCAACACUGGAAAAGUUAGAUGGUUUCUUGUACCAUAACUUGUAAGGAGUGUCUUGUUCCUUUUGUUAGGGACUCAAUUUAAUAAAUAACAUGCUGUUAUAC